AGAGUUUGAUCCUGGCUCAGGAUGAACGCUAGCGGGAGGCCUAAUACAUGCAAGUCGAGCGGUAGAGUCCUUCGGGACUUGAGAGCGGCGCACGGGUGAGUAACGCGUACAUGACCUGCCUUUAAGACCGGGAUAGCCCUGGGAAACUGGGAUUAAUACCGGAUGUGAUAAUAUGUAUAGAGAUAUAUUAUUAAAGUUGAGGCGCUUAGAGAUGGGUGUGCGUUUGAUUAGCUAGUUGGUAGGGUAACGGCCUACCAAGGCGACGAUCAAUAGGGGGCGUGAGAGCGUGACCCCCCACACGGGUACUGAGACACGAACCCGACUCCUACGGGAGGCAGCAGUAAGGAAUAUUGGUCAAUGGACGGAAGUCUGAACCAGCCAUCCCGCGUGCAGGAUGAAGGUCCUAUGGAUUGUAAACUGCUUUUAGCAGAGACGAAACGCCGACAUUUAUGUUGGUCUGACGGUAUCUGCAGAAUAAGCACCGGCUAACUCCGUGCCAGCAGCCGCGGUAAUAC
rnacentral:rRNA from 1 species